UACGUAGGUGGCGAGCGUUAUCCGGAUUCAUUGGGCGUAAAGAGAGCGUAGGCGACUUUUCAAGUCGGAUGUUAAAUCUCCCGGCUUAACUGGGAGGGAUCAUUCGAUACUGUUAAGCUAGAGGGCAACAGAGGAAGGUAGAAUUCCCGGUGUAGUGGUGAAAUGCGUAGAUAUCGGGAGGAAUACCAGUGGCGAAGGCGACCUUCUGGGUUGUCACUGACGCUUAAGCUCAAAGGCGUGGGGAG
rnacentral:rRNA from 1 species